GCGUUGGUAGUUUAAUGGCUAGAAUCCGAGCUUCCCAUAACAUGGCUCUAUUAUGAGAGAAAUUGCUCGGGGACCGGGUUCGAUUCCCGGCCAACGCA